rfam:Actinobacteria bacterium RBG_13_55_18 RBG_13_scaffold_167, whole genome shotgun sequence.
UGGACCUUUAAAUCAGUCCGGAGAGGCUGGCAAGGAAUGAUCGAACCAAGGUUUUACAUAGCCUUCCUGCCGGCUCGCAGGGAGGCUUUUUAAU